rnacentral:lncRNA from 1 species
UUCUGAUAUUCUUAUUUCAAAUAAUACUUUUUCUUUUUAUGAUUGCAUGUUAUCGUUCUCAUCAUUAAUGUGCUGUUGUAUUGACGUUUGAGUAUCCUCGUAUUUCAUAUGCAUCAUACAGGUAAAAGGUGUACAUGUAUGCUCUGCUGUUAGGUUUUGAUAAUGCUGUGAAUGAUAAAUAUACUCCACUUUUUAACCUUUUACUUGCAAUCGGAUUUAAAGGGUAAUUAUUUAGGAAAUCCAGUUUUGCGUACUAUAAUUGAUAUACAUGUACAGGUUUCAUGUCUGAUAAUAGUGAUUACUUAUCAAUCAUUUAUUUGAUUAUUUUAGAGCUUUAUAUAUAUAAAAU